GUAGACGAGUCCGUGCGCAACGGAUGGCUUCGAGGUAAAGUGGUGAAGACUUAUCCAGGACGAGACGGACAAGUUCACGAGGUCGACGUGGAUACUUGCGACGGAUCUACUCUUCAAAGACCAGCGGUAAAGGUUGCUCUGUUGGACGUGCAGGAGGAGAGUAAAGUCGAUUGACUACGACGUUACGGGUUGGGGUGUUAGCACAACUGGCAACCUUGGUACGGGAUCGGACAAACGUCAACGCGUUGGCGCCGAAAAGGAAUUGUCAUUGUGAGAAAAUUGAUCGAAACUGCGACACGUUUUUUCUUGACCUGGCAGUUAGUUAGUUUUUAGUGAAUAGUUUUAGAGAAAACAUAGGUGGAAUCUAUUUGGCUAGUUGCGCGUGAUUUGAGUGCUCGCGGGUUUGUGAGUCGGAAGAGUUUGAGUGACCGUUCGGUUGUUCCGGUUAGGUGUACCGGGUUGAGCUCAAUUAGAGCGGUAGGAAAGAAAAAGCGUAAGUAAGCAAGAAUACUUGUUCUGUACCCGAUGAUAAAUAUGAUUUUCGUCCAUUAGCUUCAAAUAGCCGGUGAUAUCCGACGGUUUAGAGUUGCCAGAGCUAGAGCUUAGGGUAAACGGCGAAACUUAUUUGUAAGUUCAUAAAAGAUUGUUUACAUUCAUCAUUUAAUAAUAAAAUGUAUUUACAGUCGAGUUCGUUCGCAUACAACGUACUACGGAACAGUUUUUAUUUCCCACAUUUAUAGAGGACAUAACCAACUUGGUCAUUCGUCCUCUCAACAAGAGUCUGUUCUUUGAAAUAGAUUGAUUAGGAUUGAAGUUUUAAAAGGCCGAAUGAACUAUUUGAUUUUUUGCAAACGUAAAUUCAAGUUAUCAAUAAAAUAAUCUACUAUUUAAUAACAACAAGUGAGGAUAUGCAU